rnacentral:rRNA from 1 species
GAUGAACGCUGGCGGCGUGCCUAAUACAUGCAAGUCGAGCGAACAGACGAGGAGCUUGCUCCUCUGACGUUAGCGGCGGACGGGUGAGUAACACGUGGAUAACCUACCUAUAAGACUGGGAUAACUUCGGGAAACCGGAGCUAAUACCGGAUAAUAUAUUGAACCGCAUGGUUCAAUAGUGAAAGACGGUUUUGCUGUCACUUAUAGAUGGAUCCGCGCCGCAUUAGCUAGUUGGUAAGGUAACGGCUUACCAAGGCGACGAUGCGUAGCCGACCUGAGAGGGGGACCGGCGACACUGGAAGUGAAACACGGUCCAGAGUCCAACGGGUGGCAGCAGUAGGGAAUCUUACGCAAUGGGCGAGAGGCAUACGGAGCAACUCUGCGUGAGGAAUAAAGGUCUUCGGAGCGUAAAACUCUGUUAUUAGGGAAGAAAAAAAGUGUAAGUAACUACGCACGUCUUGACGGUCCCUGAUCAGAAAGCCACGGCUAACUACGUG